rnacentral:rRNA from 1 species
AGGGUUCGAUUCUGGCUCAGGAUUAACGCUGGCGGCAUGCCUAAUACAUGCAAGUCGAAUGGAAGAGCUUGCUUUCCAUGGCGAACGGGUGAGUAACACGUAGGUAACCUACCUUAAGGACGAGGAUAACCUUUGGAAACGAAGGAUAAUACUGGAUAGGACAUUACAAAGCACAUGCUUAAAUGUUUAAAGGAGCAAUCCACCAUAAGAGGGGCCUGCGGCGCAUUAGCUAGUUGGUGAGAUAAAGGCCCACCAAGGCGAUGAUGCGUAGCUGGACUGAGAGGUUGAACAGCCACAAUGGGACUGAGAACGGCCCAUACUCCUACGGGAGGCAGCAGUAGGGAAUUUUCGGCAAUGGGCAAAAGCCUGACCGAGCCAAUGCCGCGUGAUCGAAGAAGUAUUUCGGUAUGUAAAGAUCUUUUAUCAGGGAAGAAAAACAAAUUGACUGAACCUGAUGAAUAAGCUCCGGCUAACUACGUGCCAGCCGCCGC